rnacentral:rRNA from 1 species
GCAAUGCUCUGGAGACAGAGCGGAGGUAUCCGGGAGACAGGUGGUGCAUGGUUGUCGUCAGCUCGUGUCGUGAGAUGUUGGGUUAAGUCCCGCAACGAGCGCAACCCUUAUUGCUAGUUACCAUCAUUGAGUUGGGGACUCUAGCGAGACUGCCAGCGAUAAGCUGGAGGAAGGUGGGGAUGACGUCAAAUCAUCAUGCCCCUUAUGACCUGGGCUACAAACGUACUACAAUGGCCAAUACAAAGAGAUGCGAAGCGGUGACGUGAAGCGAACCUCAGAAAGUUGGUCUCAGUUCAGAUUGAAGUCUGCAACUCGACUUCAUGAAGGCGGAAUCGCUAGUAAUCGCGGGUCAGCAGACCGCGGUGAAUACGUUCCCGGGUUUU